GAGUUUGAUCCUGGCUCAGAACGAACGUUGGCGGCGUGCUUAACACAUGCAAGUCGAACGUGAUCCAGAGCUUGCUCUGGUGAAAGUGGCGCMCGGGUGAGUAACGCGUGGAUAACCUGCCCUGGUAUYUGGGAUAACAUCUYGAAAGGGGUGCUAAUACUGGAUAAGCCUACGGACUCCUYGGAGUYUGCAGGAAAAGGAGGCCUCUAUUUAUAAGCUUCCGUAUCAUGAUGGGUCCGCGUACCAUUAGCUAGUUGGUGGGGUAAUGGCCUACCAAGGCGACGAUGGUUAGCUGGUYUGAGAGGAUGAUCAGCCMCMCUGGAACUGAGACMCGGUCCAGACUCCUACGGGAGGCAGCAGUGGGGAAUUUUGCGCAAUGGGCGAAAGCCUGACGCAGCAACGCCGCGUGAGUGAUGAAGGCCUUCGGGUYGUAAAGCUCUGUCAGUGGGGAAGAACCGCCGGGUGGUUAAUACCUGCCUGGUCUGACGGUACCCACAAAGGAAGCACCGGCUAACUCCGUGCCAGCAGCCGCGGUAAUACAAGGGCGMMYY
rnacentral:rRNA from 1 species